rnacentral:misc_RNA from 1 species
GAUGAAGAACGCAGCGAAAUGCGAUAAGUAGUGUGAAUUGCAGAAUUCAGUGAAUCAUCGAAUCUUUGAACGCACAUUGCGCCCGCCAGUAUUCUGGCGGGCAUGCCUGUCCGAGCGUCAUUUCAACCCUCGAACCCCUCCGGGGGGUCGGCGUUGGGGAUCGGCCCUUUCACCGGGUGCCGGCCCCUAAAUACAGUGGCGGUCUCGCCGCAGCCUCUCAUGCGCAGUAGUUUGCACACUCGCACCGGGAGCGCGGCGCGUCCUCGUCCGUAAAACACCCCAAACUUCUGAAAUGUUGACCUCGGAUCAGGUAGGAAUACCCGCUGAACUUAAGCAUAUCAAUAGCGGAGGA